rnacentral:lncRNA from 1 species
UUUCUUUGAGUUUCCUCAACACAGCUAUUUUGAAUUCUCUGUCUGAAAACUCACAUAUGUCUCUCUCUCCAGGAUUGGCCCCUGGUGCCUUAUUUCAUUUGGUAAGGUCAUGUUUUUCUGUAUGGACUUGAUGCCUGUGGCUGUUCAUUGGUGUCUGAUCUUUGAAGAGUUAUGCAUUUAUCACAGUCUUCACAGUCUGGGCUUGUUUGUGUCCAUCCUUCCUGGGAACGCUUUCUACAUAUUCAAAGGGACCUGGGGGUUGAGAUCUGAGUUUUUGGUCACUGCAAGCCAUAUCUGCAUUACAGAGCACCCCAAGCCUAGUAACGUUGUGGUUCUUGAAGACUCGUAGAGGUACCACUUUGGUGGUCUCGGAUAAGAUAUGGAAGAAUUCUCUGGAUUACCAGGUGGAGACUUUUGUUCUCUUCUUUUACUUUCUCCUGAACAAAAGAGUCUCUCUUUCUUUGCUGAGGUACAUGAGGCUAUGGGAAGGGUUACACAAGCACCCCUGUGGCCAUCACCACUGAGAUUGGGCUGGGUGAGACCUGAAUCCAGCACAGCACUGGGUCUCUCCCAAGGCCUGCUAUAACUACUACCUGGUCACCACCUAUGUUCGCUCAAGGCCCUAGAGCCUUAAAGCCAGCAGGUGGUGAAGCCAGCCAGUCUUGUGACCUUCACUUCAGAGCAGUGAGUUCCCUCAUGUCCUUGGCUGGUCCAGAGAUACCGUCUGGAAGUCAGGGACUGAAGUUGGAAAACUUAAAAAUCUACCUGCUAAGGCUAAGCUAGCACUCAAACCACAAUACAAAGUCCUUCCCACUUUCCCCAGGCAAAAUAGUCUCUCCCUGUGCCCACCACCACACAGGCUCACAGGGAGUACUCUCAGGCUACCAGUAAUGUUCACUUAUGGCCUAAGGACUCUUCAGUCAGCUUGUGGUGAAUGCUGUCAGGCUUGGGACUCACCCUUCAGGGCAAGAGGCUCCCCUCUGGCCCAGGGCAGGCUCAGAAAUCCCAUCCAAGAGCCAAAUCCUGGAAUCAGGGGCUCCAAGACCUUGCUUGGUGAUCUUCCCUACUGUGACCAAGCUUGUACCUAAGCUGCAAUCAAAAUCCUUUUUUAUUAUUAUGCCUCCUUUUCUCAGGCAGAAGGAGUCUCUUCUCAUAUCCACCAUGGCUGUGAAUAUGCUGGGUCACACCUGAAGCUAGCAAAUCUCAGAGUCUCACCCAAGGCCCAUGAUAGGGAAAGGGGAAGGCUUGAUCUGGGAAAGCUGGAGAAAGAAGACUGAAGGAUGGACUGGAUGACAUUGAUGCUAUUGCCUCAUGACAAAAUCUGAUGCAAGAGGAAGGCUACUAAGAAGCCAGCUCUACUUUUGACCAUCAGGUACCAUCUUAGGCUUCAGUUUCCUCAGGAGAAGAGGAUCCUUGGACAAGAGGAUCUGCAAAGUUCCUUCUAACUAAUAUUCUAUGAUUCUUUUUCUGAGUAAAAAGAUGGAUUUAUGACAAAAUUAAAAAAAGAAAAUCAGCUUUUAAAAGGUGUAACUUCUUCAAAGAUUUUUCCAGAAAAGACUGCCAAUAUGAAUUGUGAGAUAAAGCAGAUUGUAGAGCAAAAUUGUUGGACUUUUAAGAACAAAAAUACAUGGAAGCCAAGAGCAAUAAUUAACAUUUUUGAAAUAUUAUGUUACUUUCUCACAUUAAAAAAAUAAUAAUUGAGACUGUGAGGUGGGCAGGAGUACAUUUCCUUACCUAGGGAUUUUAGGUGACUUAAUAUAAGUCGCCUAAAAGUAAGCCAGUAGACCCAAGAAUCGUACCUUCAAAUUGCAGGACCCAUAGAGAACAAUCCAGGUAUAAAUUUAGCCGGGGAAGGGUCAGAUUAAUACUGGACUUCUGGUGUCACAUUGCUCAGCUUCAAAGCACAAUUUACAUAUUUUCAUUGACUUACUUUUGCUAUUUCUGUAUAAUGAACUCUAGAAAUAUUUGGUUACUAUCUCCAGAAUUUGGAAUUUUCAAUGGACUGUAAUAAGAAACAAAAAAGAUCAGAUAAGGGGAAAAAGAUCUGUUAUGUCCUAAAUAACAGUGAUAACAUGAACACAAUCUAUGCUAUAAAAAGCUAUGAGCUAAGCUCACAAAACAUGUGGACAAAUAUGAGCUAGUGAAAGAAAAUGACCUAAUGGAAAGAUGUCAGAAAGUGGCAGAACAAGUUCUAAGAAAAUUGGACAAUUUCCUCAAUCUGACAUGAUUUAAGUGCAAGGAGAACUUGAAUAGCAUGAAUUUGGCCUUGGGCAGAAAUAUGUACCCCCAAGAGAGGCAGCUCCCUCAGCAUUGCUUCUAGACAUCGAAUUUGGCAUGAAGAGAAUGUUAGCUAGUCCAGGACACAUUCUAGACAGGAUAGGCUCUAAACAUUUCGAAAAAGCCUCUACUCAUUGUAAAAAAAAUAUGCUUAAUAUAUAUAUAAUUAAAAGGAAGAAAGUAAAAAUCUUCGUAGUAUUGCAUCUUAACAUUUCGGUGUAUUGCUUUCCAGUGAUGAAAGAAUGAACCUUAAAGGGGAGGAGGACUAACAAUUCUUCAGGUGAGAAGAGGGAAGAAAGUUAGGAUGAAUCUGGAAGUGAGAUUUCAAGAUGGGGCAAGAAGAACUUCUGUUCACCUGUAAAAUAGAAAAAAAGAUAUUUUCAGUCUCACCAUUAUUUUCCAAGUGAGUUUUUUUUUUUCCUAUUACUAAACUGUACAAGGGCAGGAGCUGUGCCAUUUUAGUCUGUGAUCCUCCAAAGACUGUUAUAAUGGCUCAGCAGACACUCAAUAAAUAUUUGUUGAAUAAUCAGAGGCAAGUAAGACAUAAUAAACACAAAAACGUAGCAAAGCAAAUGCCAGGAGGAACUGGAGUUUAGUAGAAUAUUUAAUGAAAGUGCAAAAGACUUGCAAAAGUGCUUGGGAAUUAGGGAAGGAUAAAGAGGGUGUGACCCAAGCCUGGGGUUGCAAAUGACAUAUAGACAGCUUGACAUUUCUUCUCCCUUAUAAUUCAUUAAUCUCCAACAGGGAUCAUUUUCUAAAAAAAAAAUAUUGUUAUAGAUUCAAAGGGUAAAGUGGAAGUUUGUUACAUGGAUAGAUGACAAUGUAGUGGUUGGGUUUGGGCUUCUAUUGUACCCAUCACCCGAAUAGUGAAUAUUGUACCCAAAUAGGUUACUUUUCAACCCUCCCCCCAUCCCACUCUCCCCACUUUUGGAGUCUCCAAUGUCAAUUGUUUCCUUCUUUGUGUCCAUGUGUACCCAUUCUUUAGCUCUUACUUAUGAGUGAAAAGAUGAAGUAUUUGAUUUUCUGUUUAUGAGUUUUUUCAUUAGGAUAAUGGUCUCAAGCUCCAUUUUCCAUGUUGCUGCAAAACAUAGGAUUUCAUUCUUUUUAUGGCCGUGUAAUAUUCCAUGGUGUAUAUAUACCACAUUUUUUAUCUAAUCAUCCUUUAUAGGACACUGAAAUUAGUUCCAUAUCUUUGCUAUUGUGAAUAGCGUUGUGACAAACAUGAA